CCUACGGGAGGCAGCAGUGAGGAAUAUUGGUCAAUGGUCGAGAGUCUGAACCAGCCAAGUAGCGUGAAGGAUGACUGCCCUAAGGGUUGUAAACUUCUUUUAUAUGGGAAUAAAAUGUUCCACGCGUCGGCUUUUGUAUGUACCAUAUGAAUAAGGAUCGGCUAACUCCGUGCCAGCCGCCGCGGUAAUACGGAGGAUCCGAGCGUUAUCCGGAUUUAUUGGGUUUAAGGGGAGCGUAGGUGGAUUGUUAAGUCAGUUGUGAAAGUUUGCGGCUCAACCGUGACAUUGCAUUUGAAACUGGCAGUCUUGAGUACAGUAGAGGUGGGCGGAAGUCGUGGUUUAGCGGUGAAAUGCUUAGA
rnacentral:rRNA from 1 species